GAUGAACGCUGGCGGCGUGCUUAACACAUGCAAGUCGAACGGAAAGGCCCUGCUUUUGUGGGGUGCUCGAGUGGCGAACGGGUGAGUAACACGUGGGUAACCUGCCCUGAACUUUGGGAUAACUUUGGGAAACUGGGGCUAAUACCGGAUAGGAGCUCGUGUUGCAUGCUGGGGGGUAGAGAGUUUCGGCGGUGUGGGAUGGGCUCGCGGCUUAUCAGCUUGUGGGUGGGGUAGUGGCUUACCAAGGCGUUGACGGGUAGCCGGCCUGAGAGGGUGUCCGGCCACAUUGGGACUGAGAUACGGCCCAGACUCCUACGGGAGGCAGCAGUGGGGAAUAUUGCACAAUGGGCGGAAGCCUGAUGCAGCGACGCCGCGUGGGGGAUGACGGCCUUCGGGUUGUAAACUGCUUUCGCUUGGGACGAAGCGCGAGUGACGGUAACUGGUGAAGAAGCACCGGCUAACUACGUG
rnacentral:rRNA from 1 species